UACGUAGGGUGCGAGCGUUAAUCGGAAUUACUGGGCGUAAAGCGUGCGCAGGCGGUGAUGUAAGACAGAUGUGAAAUCCCCGGGCUCAACCUGGGAACUGCAUUUGUGACUGCAUCGCUGGAGUACGGCAGAGGGGGAUGGAAUUCCGCGUGUAGCAGUGAAAUGCGUAGAGAUGUGGAGGAACACCGAUGGCGAAGGCAGCCCCCUGGGCUGAGAUUGACGCUCAGGCACGAAAGCGUGGGGAGCAAACAGG
rnacentral:rRNA from 1 species